UAGUCCACGCCGUAAACGAUGUCUACUCGGAGUUUGGUGUCUUGAACACUGGGCUCUCAAGCUAACGCAUUAAGUAGACCGCCUGGGGAGUACGGCCACAAGGUUAAAACUCAAAUGAAUUGACGGGGGCCCGCACAAGCGGUGGAGCAUGUGGUUUAAUUCGAUGCAACGCGAAGAACCUUACCUACUCUUGACAUCCAGAGAAUUCGCUAGAGAUAGCUUAGUGCCUUCGGGAACUCUGAGACAGGUGCUGCAUGGCUGUCGUCAGCUCGUGUUGUGAAAUGUUGGGUUAAGUCCCGCAACGAGCGCAACCCCUAUCUAUAGUUGCCAGCACGUAAUGGUGGGAACUCUAUAGAGACUGCCGGUGAUAAGCCGGAGGAAGGUGGGGACGACGUCAAGUCAUCAUGGCCCUUACGGGAUGGGCUACACACGUGCUACAAUGGUGCAUACAGAGGGUCGCCAACCAGCGAUGGGGAGCUAAUCUCAGAAAGUGCA
rnacentral:rRNA from 1 species